rnacentral:misc_RNA from 1 species
AAAAUGUGAUAUUCAGUGUGAAUUGCAGAAUUCAGUGAAUCAUCAGGUUGCUGAACGCAGACGGCACUUUUGGGUUCUCCCAAAAGUAUGUCUAUCUCAGUAUUUCUAAAACUUUCUUUUUACUUUUCAAGUAAAUAGAUUCAUUUGCGCGCUGCAUUUUUGUGGUGUGCUUUCUGUAACUGGAUUUCAAAACCCAUUUUCUUUAUGAUUGUGUGUUUUGUGAUUUCAAUUCAAGUUUGAAUCUGAGAUUAGACAAGGCUACCCGCUGAAUUUAA